UACGGAGGGUGCAAGCGUUAUCCGGAUUUACUGGGUUUAAAGGGUGCGUAGGUGGUCAGUUAAGUCAGUGGUGAAAUCUCCGAGCUUAACUCGGAAACUGCCAUUGAUACUAUCUGUCUUGAAUUAUCUGGAGGUGAGCGGAAUAUGUCAUGUAGCGGUGAAAUGCUUAGAUAUGACAUAGAACACCAAUUGCGAAGGCAGCUCACUACGGAUUUAUUGACACUGAGGCACGAAAGCGUGGGGAUCAAGCAGG
rnacentral:rRNA from 1 species